rnacentral:rRNA from 1 species
UAGGGAAUCUUCCGCAAUGGGCGAAAGCUUGACGGAGCAACGCCGCGUGAGUGGUGAAGGUCUGCGGGUCGUAAAACUCUGUUAUUAGGGAAGAACAAAUGUGUAAGUAACUAUGCACGUCUUGACGGUACCUAAUCAGAAAGCAACGGCUAACUACGUGCCAGCAGCCGCGGUAAGACGUAGGUUGCAAGCGUUAUCCGGAAUUAUUGGGCGUAAAGCGCGCGUAGGCGGUUUUUUAAGUCUGAUGUGAAAGCCCACGGCUCAACCGUGGAGGCUCAUUUGAAACUGGAACACUUGAGUGCAUAAGAGGAAAGUGGAAUUCCAUGUGUAGCGGUGCAAUGCGCAGAGAUAUGGAGGAACACCAGUGGCGAAGGCGACUUUCUGGUCUGUAACUGACGCUGAUGUGCGAACGCGUGCGGAUCAAACAGG